CACUUUAAAAUAAGUUCUACUAUAAAAUUUAUUAAAUUUAAUUUCAAAAUCACUGUUAUAAGAAAUAAUUAAAAAUUAAAUUAUAAGUAUGAAAUCAAAUACAAAUUUGGGUUAGAAUCCAAGUAUGAAGAUUAAUUUAAGUAAUAGAAAUAAACUUAAACUGUGUGGCAGUUACUUAUUCUUCUUAGAGAAUUUUGAUUGUUAAAUUGAUACUCCACAAUUUUAUUUAAAAAUCGUAGUCUGUGUGUGGUUGUUUAAAAAUAAAUUUUAAUUUAAAUUAGUAUUCAAAUAACAUACAGCUUGAUUAAUGUUAAUUGAAAUGCAGUAAUUAAGCUUACAAAGAAAUAGGAUUUAAUAGUAGGCUCAAAAAAUCGAAU
rnacentral:rRNA from 1 species